GCUCUGGUGGCCUAGUGGUUAUAGUGUCUGCCUCAGAUGCUGGAGAUCGUAGGUUUGAACUCUGUCCAAGUCAUACCCAGGACU